CGAAAUGCGAUAACUAAUGUGAAUUGCAGAAUUCAGUGAAUCAUCGAAUCUUUGAACGCACAUUGCGCCCGCCAGCACUCUGGCGGGCAUGCCUGUUCGAGCGUCAUUUCAACCCUCAGAACCCCUUGCGGGAUCUGGCGUUGGGGAUUGGCAUCCAGCCAGCCCCGAAAUCUAGUGGCGGUCCCUCCGCGACCUCCCCUGUGCAGUAGCGAUACCUCGCAGCGGGACAGCGGUCUGACCACGCCGUAAAACCCCCAACUUCUCAAGGUUGACCUCGAAUCAGGUAGGAAUACCCGCUGAACUUAAGC
rnacentral:misc_RNA from 1 species